rnacentral:tRNA from 1 species
CUGAGGCGCGGGGCGGUGAGUGUCCGGCGCUCCCUGGGGCGGCGCGAGGAGUGCGUCGAACGCGUUGGGUUCGCGUGCUGCGGG